rnacentral:rRNA from 1 species
CACGUAGGGUGCGAGCGUUGUCCGGAAUUAUUGGGCGUAAAGAGCUCGUAGGCGGUGUGUCGCGUCGGCCGUGAAAACCUGCAGCUUAACUGUGGGCGUGCGGUCGAUACGGGCAUCACUGGAGUUCGGCAGGGGAGACUGGAAUUCCUGGUGUAGCGGUGAAAUGCGCAGAUAUCAGGAGGAACAUCGGUGGCGAAGGCGGGUCUCUGGGCCGAUACUGACGCUGAGGAGCGAAAGCGUGGGGGAGCGAACAGG